UACGAAGGGGGCUAGCGUUGCUCGGAAUCACUGGGCGUAAAGGGUGCGUAGGCGGGUUUUUAAGUCAGGGGUGAAAUUCCGAGGCUCAACCUCGGAACUGCCUUUGAUACUGGGGAUCUGGAGUCCGGGAGAGGUGAGCGGAACUGCGAGUGUAGAGGUGAAAUUCGUAGAUAUUCGCAAGAACACCAGUGGCGAAGGCGGCUCACUGGCCCGGAACUGACGCUGAGGUGCGAAAGCGUGGGGAGCAAACAGG
rnacentral:rRNA from 1 species